rnacentral:SRP_RNA from 1 species
GACCGGACGCCGUGCAACAAACAGUCAUGAACCUCGUCAGGUCCGGAAGGAAGCAGCGAUAAGUGAUGUUGUUUGUGUCGCGGAUCGAUCCCGGUCAUA